rnacentral:lncRNA from 1 species
ACGCAGAAGACGGGUGAUUUCUGCAUUUCCAUCUGAGAUGGAGUGAAUAUGAUGAUUCUGUGAAGGUUUAUUGCAACAUGACUUUUUCAGCACAGCAACAGGAAAAUUUGACUCUGGGUCUGUUCUACAAAAUUAAAGCUUUCUCAGCACAAAAAACAGCAUAGACUGUGAGUGAUGGCGGCCAUCUUGGUUCAUGUGUAAAGACUGAAUUUCAGUGACUACCAACGGCUAUUUCUUAGAAUGUGGCACUUACCCUGGGUUCAGGCUGUGGUCCUUCUACUGCCCAUGAAUGAAUUGCUCCAUCUGAACAUUCGGGAACAGGCUCAAAGCCAGCUGCACUACGAGGAGCACCUCCACAAUCACAACAGAUCAUCAAAAAUGGGACCACUGGUGGUGGAGGGAUAGUAAUACUAGAGUUAGCACUGGGUGCAAAUAAAAAACAAAACAACCUGAUUUUUUAUGGUUAAAU